rnacentral:rRNA from 1 species
CUACGGGCUGCAGCAGUGGGGAAUAUUGCACAAUGGGCGCAAGCCUGAUGCAGCCAUGCCGCGUGUAUGAAGAAGGACUUCGGGUUGUAAAGUACUUUCAGCGGGGAGGAAGGGAGUAAAGUUAAUACCUUUGCUCAUUGACGUUACCCGCAGAAGAAGCACCGGCUAACUCCGUGCCAGCAGCCGCGGUAAUACGGAGGGUGCAAGCGUUAAUCGGAAUUACUGGGCGUAAAGCGCACGCAGGCGGUUUGUUAAGUCAGAUGUGAAAUCCCCGGGCUCAACCUGGGAACUGCAUCUGAUACUGGCAAGCUUGAGUCUCGUAGAGGGGGGUAGAAUUCCAGGUGUAGCGGUGAAAUGCGUAGAGAUCUGGAGGAAUACCGGUGGCGAAGGCGGCCCCCUGGACGAAGACUGACGCUCAGGUGCGAAAGCGUGGGGAGCAAACAGGAUUAGAUACCCUUGUAGUC